UGGCGACCGGCGCACGGGUGCGUAACGCGUAUGCACCCUACCUUUAACAGGGGGAUAACACUGAGAAAUUGGUACUAAUACCCCAUAAUAUCAUAGAAGGCAUCUUUUAUGGUUGAAAAUUCCGAUGGUUAGAGAUGGGCAUGCGUUGUAUUAGCUAGUUGGUGGGGUAACGGCUCACCAAGGCGACGAUACAUAGGGGGACUGAGAGGUUAACCCCCCACACUGGUACUGAGACACGGACCAG
rnacentral:rRNA from 1 species